CUGCUCCCAGGUGAAUCUUAUUAAAGGAGUUGUAGGGAACCUCCUAGGUGUGAAGUAUUAGCUGCUAGGCAGGUCACUUGUCCUUUAGGAAAAGUAAAAGGUGGUUAUGAAGAUUAACAUUUUUUUUCUAGAAGUGUUGUUUGGUGUAAUGAAAUGUCAUCAUAGGGGUGAUGAAAUGCCAUCGGAGGACUGAUCUCUGUCACACAGGGAUUUUCAAGAGGAGGGACUUACAAACACUCUUCAGUCUGUUAUGGUAGGUUUUUAUUUUCCACUUCUCCAUGGUGACCUAAUGCCUAAAGAAGAAAUAGAUGAACUGCACAAAGACUCAGAUUACUUUGCUCUUUUCUGCCUAGUAAUUAUUUAUGAGCACACAGCUGCUAUAUUCUGCAAAGUUCAUAUCAAAAGACAUGAAAGUUGAAGACAGGAAUGUGUUGUAAGACCAUAUAAAGAAAUGUUGACUGGGGUUUGCCUGCCCUGCUCUGGCGCUGGCUGGGGAUCUC
rnacentral:lncRNA from 1 species